AUUGAACGCUGGCGGCAGGCCUAACACAUGCAAGUCGAGCGGAUGAAGAGAGCUUGCUCUCUGAUUUAGCGGCGGACGGGUGAGUAAUGCCUAGGAAUCUGCCUAUUAGUGGGGGACAACAUGUCGAAAGGAAUGCUAAUACCGCAUACGUCCUACGGGAGAAAGAAGGGGAUCUUCGGACCUUGCGCUAAUAGAUGAGCCUAAGUCGGAUUAGCUAGUUGGUGGGGUUAAGGCCUACCAAGGCGACGAUCUGUAGCGGGUCUGAGAGGAUGAUCCGCAACACUGGGACUGAGACACGGCCCAGACGCCUACGGGAGGCAGCAGUGGGGAAUAUUGGACAAUGGGCGGAAGCCUGAUCCAGCCAUUCCGCGUGUGUGAAGAAGGCCUUAUGGUUGUAAAGCACUUUAAGCGAGGAGGAGGCUACUUUAGUUAAUACCUAGAGAUAGUGGACGUUACUCGCAGAAUAAGCACCGGCUAACUCUGUGCCAGCCGCCGCCGUAAAAC
rnacentral:rRNA from 1 species